AAACCCCGGGAAACUGGGGCUAAUCCCCGAUAGGCGAGGGGGCCUGGAAGGGUCCCUCGCCGAAAGGGACCUCAGGGGGUUAUCGCCUGGGGUCCGCCCGAGGAUGGGGCCACGGCCCAUCAUGGUAGUUGGCGGGGUAAUGGCCCGCCAAGCCGACGACGGGUAGGGGCCGUGGGAGCGGGAGCCCCCAGAUGGGCCCUGAGACAAGGGCCCAGGCCCUACGGGGCGCACCAGGCGCGAAACCUCCGCAAUGCGGGAAACCGUGACGGGGUCACCCCGAGUGCCCCCGUAAGGGGGCUUUUCCCCGCUGCAAGGAGGCGGGGGAAUAAGCGGGGGGCAAGUCUGGUGUCAGCCGCCGCGGUAAUACCAGCCCCGCGAGUGGUCGGGACUCUUGCUGGGCCUAAAGCGCUCGUAGCCGGCCCCGGUAAGUCCCCUCCUUAAAGCCCCGGGCUCAACCCGGGGAGCGGGGGGAUACUGCCGGGCUAGGGGGCGGGAGAGGCCCGGGGUACCCCAGGGGUAGGGGCGAAAUCCGAUAAUCCCCUGGGGGACCACCAGUGGCGAAGCGCCCGGCUGGGAACGCGCCCGACGGUGAGGGCGAAA
rnacentral:rRNA from 1 species